rnacentral:rRNA from 1 species
CGGAGGAUCCAAGCGUUAUCCGGAAUCAUUGGGUUUAAAGGGUCCGUAGGCGGUUUUGUAAGUCAGUGGUGAAAGCCCAUCGCUCAACGGUGGAACGGCCAUUGAUACUGCAAAACUUGAAUUAUUGGGAAGUAACUAGAAUAUGUAGUGUAGCGGUGAAAUGCUUAGAUAUUACAUGGAAUACCAAUUGCGAAGGCAGGUUACUAUCAAUAUAUUGACGCUGAUGGACGAAAGCGUGGGGAGCGAACAGGAUUAGAUACCCUGGUAGUCCACGCCGUAAACGAUGGAUACUAGCUGUUCGAGAGCAAUCUUGAGUGGCUAAGCGAAAGUGAUAAGUAUCCCACCUGGGGAGUACGUUCGCAAGAAUG